rnacentral:rRNA from 1 species
AUUGAACGCUGGCGGCAUGCCUUACACAUGCCAGUCGAACGGCAGCACGGGUGCUUGCACCUGGUGGCGAGUGGCGAACGGGUGAGUAAUACAUCGGAACAUGUCCUGUAGUGGGGGAUAGCCCGGCGAAAGCCGGAUUAAUACCGCAUACGAUCCACGGAUGAAAGCGGGGGACCUUCGGGCCUCGCGCUAUAGGGUUGGCCGAUGGCUGAUUAGCUAGUUGGUGGGGUAAAGGCCUACCAAGGCGACGAUCAGUAGCUGGUCUGAGAGGACGACCAGCCACACUGGGACUGAGACACGGCCCAGACUCCUACGGGAGGCAGCAGUGGGGAAUUUUGGACAAUGGGCGAAAGCCUGAUCCAGCAAUGCCGCGUGUGUGAAGAAGGCCUUCGGGUUGUAAAGCACUUUCGUCCGGAAAGAAAUCCUUGGCUCUAAUACAGUCGGGGGAUGACGGUACCGGAAGAAUAAGCACCGGCUAACUACGUG